CUUGCCAGUUCGUCGCCACGCUCCCAGACCUAGAAGGGAAAACCAGAGCAUAUCAGCGGCCUGAUCUGGGGUGACAUUUCGGGGAGAAACUAACAAUAUUCGCUGUUCCAGACAUCUCGAGGUACCGCCAGCUCUCGCUGGCUAUGGAGCUGAAUCAGACUCCAAAAAGGAUCUUGUUCGUCCCUCCUCAGGAGGAGCUGGGGACGUCAGAGUCAUCCUGCUGGAGAGUUUUCCUUUCAUGUCACUUCAUCCCCGUUCCUUCUGUCUCUGGAUGGUUCGCUGUAGCCAGAGUGCUCUGACCUGACACAUUUGUGUCAUAGUGCCUUCUCCAUGCCGAUCCCAACGCCAAGCCAAGCCUCCCUAUGAUGCAAGUUGGAAACUUAAACAAAGCCCGUGGACCAGCAGUGAAUAAUGUCAUCCAGAGAUCUAGCUCACAAAAUUCUUAAUGCCUUUGAGCUAGCAAGGUCAAAAGGUCUGGGAUUGUCCUUCUGCUAGAUCAUCCAGGAGCAGCAUGGAAUGGGACAGCUUCACAGCACUGGCACCAGCCAGCACUUCCUGAGCUGUGCAAACCCAAGGACAGGUGAUGAUGAUGGGAAGCCUUGAGCCAGGGCAGCUCACAGGAAAAUAUUUUUCUUCUCAUCUCACAGGAUAUGAACUUCACAUGGAAAUCUCAUGCUUUGUACAAGGAAAGAGAAACCAGAGGGACUCCAGCAGUUAUACAACAUGCAAGACCUGUUUGAGAGCUGCCUCCUGAAGGAUUAGCUACAAAUCUUUGUUCCCUUUACAGCUGUAGCCUUGUAUCUUUGUGCAUCCUGUAAAGCAGUGUAGAAAUUAAUAAAUAAA